rnacentral:lncRNA from 1 species
CCUCACUCACUCUGUAUCUGACUCUCAAAACAAGUCUGCCAGGCCGGCAGCUUGGGUUAUUAUUCCACUGUGUACGGAGGAAACUGGGCUCUGGAGGGCUCAGCCAUGGGUCAUGCUGCAGGUGAGAGGCCCAGCCAGGCUGUAGGUCUGUCUGAUGCUCAGCUCCAGCCCUGCCCUGUGCAGGUGCUGCUGGGAGUCACCUGGCAACAAGAGCUCUGGGCUAGGCGGUGGAGGUGGAACAGCAUUCUGGGCAGAGGGAACAGCAUGUGCAAACCCCAGAGGAAGUGGCACAAAGACUGGAUGAAGAAGCAGAUGCCAGAUGGACCUGGCAACUUCACUGACAGGGACCUUGGAGAGAAAACUGGGCGCUCACGCUGCCACCAGUCUCCCUGCAGCACGGCCCUGGGUGUGGCCAUGCUUCCAGCCCCAGGUCCCCCAGCCUCGGGAAUCCUCGCCAGGACCUGUCGGGCUCCCUGAAGUCUGGAACGCCAGCCUUUACGCACACACCAGAUUCUGGAAUCUUUAAGUAGUCUUUGGAGCCUCCGAACAGCUUCCAGGACUGACAAAUUGCUUCCAAAAUGUUCAAACGCCUUUGGAAUCUGUGAACAGCCCCUGAGACUUGAACCCUAACUGAGAGCCAAGGAGGCCGGGCCGAGGCCAGGCCCAGCCAGUGCAGCCUCCCCGGGGCGCAGCCCCGCCCCACGCGGGCCACGCUCAGAGGUGCCCCGGAAGAGCACAGAGCUGGAGUCCGGGCCCAGCAAGGAGCUUCGGGCCUCCGCCCUGGCGGGUGACCUUGGAUAAAUCCCUUCCUUUCUCUGGGCUGCUUUCCCCGUUUACAUUAUGGGGUUUGGUGAGGUUUUAGAGUGUGUAGCCAACCUUCGGGAUUCAGACCCAGCCUCCCAUGGCCCCUGCCUUAGCCUGUACCAAUUCCAAGGGUGUCACCCGCGGGGAGCAGCCCAGGGGGGCAGAGGGGAGACCCCAGCCCACAGGGCUGCCCGCCCACGCUGCAGACUCGACUUUGUCACUUGUCACUCCAUUUAACCCCGGGGCCCUUGCCCUCCACAAGUGCCUCCGAGGGAGGCCUCGGGGACCCGCCCCGCGUGGCGCCGCCACAGCACCUGGCAGGCUUCACUCCUGGCCUCCGAGGGCUGUUUCAGCCACCCAGCGCUGUCUCCAUGGUGAUGGGCGCAGAGCCGAGCUGGCCUUUUGAACAACACUCAUAAAGGUGCAAAAGUACCCCAGAUAAGCCAGCGUGGAUCUGUGAAGCAAAACAGCUUUGGCCACCCUGUGUCUUGUAAACCACAGCCACCCCUGGGCUUGGCUGGCCUGGUGGGGAUACAGCUUCUGGGCCACUGGGCUUGGGGUACCUGCUUCCCUUCAGCAUCCUGGGCACUCUCUCCAUCCUGCUCACCCCAUCCUGGAAGGAGAUGCACCUAGCUGUGCCAGCUGUGUGACCUAGAGGAAGGGCAUUCACUUCUCUGAGCCUCAGUGCCCUGGUCUUUAGUGGUCCUGAGGAGGCUACUCUGCACUGCCAGGGAGACUGACAGAGAUGGAGGGGAAGGGCACAGCAUGGUACCAAACAGGUGCCUGGUGGGGGACAGUUUCCAUUUGUCCUCGCGUUCCUGCCUAGGAGCACAGGGCCACCUUUUGCAGGCAGGAUCUGGCCUCCUCCUUCUCCACUGCACCCUGCAUGUGUACCUGUGCACUAGCUUCCCAGCUAUGCUUGAAGAGUGGACACCAGUGCCCCACUGUCCUUGCUGAGCCAUACUAGAGGUGGCCCUCAGUGGUCCUUAGGAAAUAAACAUAGUUGUCCCUUGGUGGUGGUGGGUUUCCAGGACUCCUGAGGGUCCUGAAUCUAUAGAGGCUCAAGUCUCUUCUAUAAAACGGCAGAAUAUUUGCACACGUGUCCUCCUGUAGACAUCAGACCAUAGCUAAAUGACUUAUAAUUCCUGGUAGAAUGUAAACACCACGUCAGUAGUUAUUACAUGGUAUUGUUUAGGGAACAAUCACAAGGAAAGAAAGUCUGUACAUGUUUGGUACAGAUGUAAUUUUUUUUCCCAAAUAUUUUCCAUCUAUGGCUGGUUGAAUCCACAGACGUGGAACCCAUGGGCCUGGCGAGGAGGUGCUGAUUGCAAAUGUGAGCCAAUAAACACAUGUGGGACUACAGUUUCUGAACCUUAGAUCUGGGGGUGUGGACUGUGGGGUGCU